UCUACUUUCUAUCUCUUCCUCCUCAAGACCUCCGCAAGAAAGCUGUACUCCAGAAAGACUUUGGGCCGACUAGUAUUUCCGAGGAUCUCCUACCAUGGGUGUCUGCACCGCACACAGGUGUCACAUGGAGAUGGAAGGUGGAAAAAAAGAAAAGGCCGCAUCAUGUGAAGGUGAUCCUCCAGGCUGACCACGAAGUGUGACCGCCGAAUGUCGUCUGUCUGCUGUUAAGGCAUGAGUGAGAUCAACUGAUCUUCUGUCUGGGCGAGCUGAAUGUGCUCGUGUGUCCCUGGCUUGUGCAGGUCCAGUAACAUGAUGGGGGAGGAGACCGUCUGCCCCAGGUUCACCACUGAAGGCCAUCCACAUCGAGUGGAAAGAUGAUGUGCUCAUGAGAUGUCAAUUGUUAUAAGAAUGAAGACUGUUCACUGUACAUUCAAUAAAAUAAAACACAAACUCUCUAUA